rnacentral:misc_RNA from 1 species
UCAAACUUGGUCAUUUAGAGGAAGUAAAAGUCGUAACAAGGUUUCCGUAGGUGAACCUGCGGAAGGAUCAUUACUGGGUUUUUGGGCUCUGCCCGCCACCCGCCCUCUGUUAUUUAGUGACUAUUGUUUCGGCCAGUGGGGGCGACCCCCGGCCGGCAGUAACUCUGAAGCAUCUUGAAGUCUGAUAAACUGUCAAUAAAAAAAACUUUCAACAACGGAUCUCUUGGUUCUGGCAUCGAUGAAGAACGCAGC